UACGAAGGGGGCUAGCGUUGCUCGGAAUCACUGGGCGUAAAGGGUGCGUAGGCGGGUCUUAAGUCAGGGGUGAAAUCCUGGAGCUCAACUCCAGAACUGCCUUUGAUACUGAAGAUCUUGAGUUCGGGAGAGGUGAGUGGAACUGCGAGUGUAGAGGUGAAAUUCGUAGAUAUUCGCAAGAACACCAGUGGCGAAGGCGGCUCACUGGCCCGAUACUGACGCUGAGGCACGAAAGCGUGGGGAGCGAACAGG
rnacentral:rRNA from 1 species